rnacentral:rRNA from 1 species
UGGGGAAUUUUGGACGAAUUGGGGGCAACCCGUCGAUCCAGCAAUGCCGCGUGUGUGAAGAAGGCCUUCGGGUUGUAAAGCACUUUUGUCCGGAAAGAAAACGCCGUGGUUAAUACCCGUGGCGGAUGACGGUACCGGAAGAAUAAGCACCGGCUAACUACGUGCCAGCAGCCGCGGUAAUACGUAGGGUGCAAGCGUUAAUCGGAAUUACUGGGCGUAAAGCGUGCGCAGGCGGUCCGCUAAGACAGAUGUGAAAUCCCCGGGCUUAACCUGGGAACUGCAUUUGUGACUGGCGGGCUAGAGUAUGGCAGAGGGGGGUAGAAUUCCACGUGUAGCAGUGAAAUGCGGUAGAGAUGUGGAGGAAUACCGAUGGCGAAGGCAGCCCCCUGGGCCAAUACUGACGCUCAUGCACGAAAGCGUGGGGGAGCAAACAGGAUU